GAUGAACGCUGGCGGCGUGCCUAAUACAUGCAAGUCGAACGAGGUGCUUUUGUAGCAAUACGAGAGUAUCCUAGUGGCGAACGGGUGAGUAACGCGUUGGUGACCUACCCCAAAGUGUGGGAUAACUGAUCGAAAGAUCUGCUAAUACCGCAUGUGGUCUUCGGAUUUAGAAACUGAUGACUAAAGGAGCAAUUCGCUUUGGGAGGGACCUGCGUCCCAUCAGCUAGUUGGUGAGGUAACGGCUCACCAAGGCGACGACGGGUAGGGGACCUGAGAGGGUGGCCCCCCACAAUGGAACUGAAACACGGUCCAUACACCUACGGGUGGCAGCAGUAGGGAAUAUUGCUCAAUGGGCGAAAGCCUGAAGCAGCAACGCCGCGUGUGCGAUGAAGGCCUUCGGGUCGUAAAGCACUUUUCUGAGGGAUGAGAAAGGACAGUACCUCAGGAAUAAGUCUCGGCUAACUACGUGCCAGCAGCCGCCGCCGUAA
rnacentral:rRNA from 1 species